rnacentral:lncRNA from 1 species
AGAGGGAUGUUAGCCUUCCAUGGGGAGGCUUCACAGGCUGAGUUCCUCAGAGGCCAGUGGUGAGUACAAGUUCCUCCCUGAGACCUCAGUGAGCACUGAGAUUUGAGAAGGCUCUACAGGCUUGAGAAGAAAGAGACACUGAAGCACUGAAGGGGAGGGGCAGAGAGAUUUAUGAGUAGACCCUAAAUGAGCUUACAGGCCUCAUCAUAGCACCAGGAACGUUGUGGGGUGAACUUUCUUCAAGUAUUUAAGAGACAUGAGUGCCAGAGCACUCAAUGAUUGAACCUGGGUGGAGGGGAGAAGAGGGGGAGUCUUACUCAAAACCAUGGAGGCAGGGCCUUCUCCUCAGGACCCGUGUCUGUUUGGGCAAGGCCCAGGGCUUUAGGACCAAUAGAAUCUGAGAUGCAGAUCACAUGGGCUAGAGAAAUUGGCUCAGAUCACUUUUCCUGUGAAUUGGCAGGGACAAAAGGGAAAUAAGAACAACAUGAGUAGAAGACCUGUCCUUCUUGCUUAUUUGAUUCUUGCAAUGUUAUGGGGAGCAGUGCUAACCACCUCAGUGUUGAUUUGUUACGUGUUCUUGAACCCCUCCUUUAACACCUCCGUGUUGAUUAAGUGUGUCUACCACAAUCCAGGUUAGCUUGUCUCAAACUCACAUGGCACACACUGUCAUUAUGUUUUUUCAUUGUCUAGCAUCUUGAAAGGCCACUGUUACAGUCUGAACCUGCAAUGUCCCACGGGUUAGACCCUUGCUUCCCAUCUGGUGGCUCUCUCUUAGAAGAUUAUGGAAAACUCUUUGGAGGUUAGGUCUCUGGAGGAAAAUGGUCUCAGGUGUGCCUUUGAAAGUUAGACACCAAGACUCUUUCUCAUUCUUUGCUUCUUUCUUAUCCAUCACAGAUGAACAGUUUCCUCUUCCACAUGCCCCUGCUGCCCCCUAUCCGAUUAGCACAUAGAACCAUACUGCCUUAGACUGAAUUAGCUGAAUCCAUAGGCAAAGAGAGAUCCUUCCUCCUUUAAUUUGUUUUGUGAGAUAUUUUGUGACAAUUGUUAAAGCAAUUGAUGUUUAUUGUACGCUUAAUCAUCUCGGUCACUCUAUGCUGUUCUACAGUAGAUAAUUUUAACCUCUGUGUAAAUCUAUACACAGAAUUUCUCACUUGGUGGUUCAUGUGUGGCUGGCAGGCAUGCCCCAAAUUACAUCCUAAAGAGUAUCAGGGCCGAAGGGAUAUGCCCUGUUUCCUUUGCAGCUCCCAGGGUACAUUGCAAGCCCUAUGUGAUCUCAACAUUUGGGUUUAAUUAAAAAAGCAAGAACAUCAGAAGCAAAA